rnacentral:rRNA from 1 species
CCUACGGGAGGCAGCAGUGGGGAAUAUUGCACAAUGGGGGAAACCCUGAUGCAGCGACGCCGCGUGAGUGAAGAAGUAUUUCGGUAUGUAAAGCUCUAUCAGCAGGGAAGAGAAUGACGGUACCUGAGUAAGAAGCCCCGGCUAACUACGUGCCAGCAGCCGCGGUAAUACGUAGGGGGCAAGCGUUAUCCGGAUUUACUGGGUGUAAAGGGAGGGUAGACGGCGAAGAAAGUCUGAAGGGAAAGCCCGCGGCUAAACCGCGGAACGGCUUUGGAAACUUGUUUGCUGGAGUGCCGGAGAGGUAAGCGGAAUUCCUAGUGUAGCGGUGAAAUGCGUAGAUAUUAGGAGGAACACCAGUGGCGAAGGCGGCUUACUGGACGGUAACUGACGUUGAGGCUCGAAAGCGUGGGGAGCAAACAGGAUUAGAUACCCGAGUAGUC